rnacentral:snRNA from 1 species
GUGCUCACUUCAGCAGCACAUAUACUAAAAUUGGAAUGAUGCAGAGAAGAUUAGCAUGGCCCCUGCGCAAGGGGAAAAAAAUUUUAGCAGCUGUACCUCAGACAA